GGUAAACACAGGCAGAUGGAUCCAGCUCCACUGAUUUUCAGCAGUGACGGAUGGCAAAGCUGUUUAGUCAUCACAGACUGGAGUUGACAUUCAAUGGAUGGUGGAAACUGGGGAGGAAAAAAUACUUGAAAGCAUGAAGAACUAACAUCAUUUAUGGCAAAGGAAAUAGUCAUAUGUGUCAUGUCCUUCUGAACAAAACGAGCAUUCUGGGAUACAAGAGUGACUUCCAGACCAACAGUAGAGCUGUGUGAGACCUCCAAAAGGUGUGCUGAGCCACCACUUCCACUGCCAAUAAGUCAAGCAAAGAAGUCGUCCCUACUUCCAGCUUGAAGAGCUCCAUAUGAUUCUAGACAAAAUAACAGCAGAGGAGGAGAAAGGAAUGAAGACCAGAGCAUUUGACUUUCACAGAUGCUGGGGACCGCUCCAGACCAAGAACUGUUGGACUUAGAAAUGGAAAACAGCAUGAGCCACAGCCCACCCAGGACUGCUCCUGCACUACUUUCCUGAGCUUUAGAACUGUGACUGUUCCACAGCUAAAUUCAGCUCUAAAGGUACUUGACAUUGCCCCUUCAAUUUCCCUUCUCUUACUACGUCUUCUCUUCACAUAAUGUUGUGUAUGAUGAAAGCUAAAUCACUGCUGAAACUCAGUGGCGAGGGCUGUCAAACACAUGGAUAUAGCCCCAUCAGUUAAGAUAUGACGACAGACCAUACAUAGAUCAUAAUGGACAACAUGUUGAAGAAGAAAAUAUACAUGAGGCUACAACCAUCUUUUCCAGAUUUGAGAUUUCCUGUCAGCCAUGACAUUUUUCAGAUGUCCACAGAUCCAAAAAUCAACCACUUCUUUCUUUCGGCACUGUGUUGGUUUUUGAACUCACAGACUGGUAUGCAUUAACAGCAGUGCUUUGUUUUAUUAAUAAGACAUUUUACAAACUCUUCAUAGUUUUAUAAAAUUUGUUUUUUUUUUAAUCAUUUAGUCCUCAAUGAAUU
rnacentral:lncRNA from 1 species